GCCUUAGUAGCUCAGUGGUAGAGCGUUUGCCUAGUACAUUUGACAUGGAAUGGCAGCAAAAGGUCCAGUGUUCGACUCACUGUUGAGGCA
rnacentral:tRNA from 1 species